UCCUGGCUCAGAACGAACGCCGGCGGCGUGUUUAAGACAUGCAAGUUGUACGGGGAAUCUUUGGAGCUUGCUUUGAGGAUUCCUAGUGGCGCACGGGUGAGUAACACGUGAGUAACAUGCCUCGUAGAGGGGAAUAGCCCGCCGAAAGGCGGAUUAAUACCCCAUGGUCCCGCAAGGGUAAAGGUGGCUUCGGCUGUCGCUACGAGAUUGGCUCGCGUCCUAUCAGCUUGUUGGUGAGGUAACGGCUCACCAAGGCAACGACGGGUAGCUGGUCUGAGAGGACGAUCAGUCACACUGGAACUGAGACACGGUCCAGACACCUACGGGUGGCAGCAGUCGAGAAUAAUUCACAAUGGACGAAAGUCUGAUGGUGCAACGCCGCGUGGAGGAUGAAGGUCUUCGGAUUGUAAACUCCUGUCAUUUGAGAGUAAGACCUGGCGGUGAAUAGCCGACAGGGUUGAUAGUAUCAAAAGAGGAAGGGACGGCUAACUUCGUGCCAGCAGCCGCGGUAAUACGAAGGUCCCGAGCGUUGUUCGGAAUCACUGGGCGUAAAGGGAGCGUAGGCGGUUGGGUAAGUCAGAUGUGAAAUCCCGGGGCUCAACCUCGGAACUGCAUCCGAUACUGCCCGACUAGAGUAAUGGAGGGGUAACUGGAAUUCUCGGUGUAGCAGUGAAAUGCGUAGAUAUCGAGAGGAACACUCGUGGCGAAGGCGAGUUACUGGACAUUUACUGACGCUGAGGCUCGAAGGCCAGGGUAGCGAAAGGGAUUAGAUACCCCUGUAGUCCUGGCAGUAAACGGUGUGCGCUUGGUGUGAGGGGUUUCGACCCCCCUUGUGCCGGAGCUAACGCGUUAAGCGCACCGCCUGGGGAGUACGGUCGCAAGACUAAAACUCAAAGAAAUUGACGGGGACCCGCACAAGCGGUGGAGUAUGUGGCUUAAUUCGAUGCAACGCGAAGAACCUUACCAGGGCUUGACAUGCAUUGCUAAUUCCGUGAAAGCGGAUGAGUCUUCGGACACCUUGCACAGGUGCUGCAUGGCCGUCGUCAGCUCGUGUCGUGAGAUGUUGGGUUAAGUCCCGCAACGAGCGCAACCCCUGUGAUUAGUUGCCAGCACGUAAAGGUGGGGACUCUAAUCAGACUGCCCAGAUCAACUGGG
rnacentral:rRNA from 1 species